rnacentral:rRNA from 1 species
UACGGGGGGAGCAAGCGUUGUUCGGAUUUACUGGGCGUAAAGGGCGCGUAGGCGGCGUGACAAGUCACUUGUGAAAUCUCCGGGCUUAACCCGGAGCGGCCAAGUGAUACUGUCGUGCUAGAGUGCGGAAGGGGCUACUGGAAUUCUCGGUGUAGCGGUGAAAUGCGUAGAUAUCGAGAGGAACACCUGCGGCGAAGGCGGGUCUCUGGGCAAUAACUGACGCUGAGGAGCGAAAGCGUGGGGAGCGAACAGG